rnacentral:rRNA from 1 species
AUACGCUGCGAUAAGCCGUGGGGAGCUGCGAAUGAGCUUUGAUCCAUGGAUCUCCGAAUGGGGCAACCCACCUUAGAUACCUAGAAAGUUUAAGCCGUCUUUCGGGACGGUUUAGGUUUCUAGGUAUUGUUAAAAGGUAUCUGCACCUGAAUACAUAGGGUGUAAGAAGCGAACGCAGGGAACUGAAACAUCUAAGUACCUGCAGGAAAGGACAUCAACCGAGACUCCGCAAGUAGUGGCGAGCGAACGCGGACCAGGCCAGUGGCAACAAGGAAUAAAGCCGAACGACUUGGAAAGGUCGACCGUAGCGGGUGAUAGUCCCGUAGGCGUAGAACACUUGUUGUCCUAGAGUAGGGCGGGACACGAGAAAUCCUGUCUGAACAUGGGGAGACCACUCUCCAAGCCUAAGUACUCGUGCAUGACCGAUAGC